rnacentral:rRNA from 1 species
UACGUAGGGGGCGAGCGUUAUCCGGAUUUAUUGGGCGUAAAGCGCACGCAGGCGGUCCGGCAAGUGUGGGGUGACAGCUCCUGGCUUAACUGGGAGAGGACUCAACAAACUGCCGGACUUGAGAGCGAGAGAGGGACACGGAAUUCCAGGUGGAGCAGUGACAUGCGUAGAGAUCUGGAGGAACACCAAAGGCGAAGGCAGUGUCCUGGCUCGUUUCUGACGCUCAGGUGCGAAAGCUAGGGGAGCGAACGGG